rnacentral:rRNA from 1 species
UCCUACCGGGAGGCAGCAGUGGGGAAUAUUGCACAAUGGGCGCAAGCCUGAUGCAGCCAUGCCGCGUGUAUGAAGAAGGCCUUCGGGUUGUAAAGUACUUUCAGCAGUGAGGAAGGUGGAUAUGUUAAUAGCAUAUUCAUUUGACGUUAGCUGCAGAAGAAGCACCGGCUAACUCCGUGCCAGCAGCCGCGGUAAUACGGAGGGUGCGAGCGUUAAUCGGAAUUACUGGGCGUAAAGCGCAUGCAGGUGGUUUGUUAAGUCAGAUGUGAAAGCCCGGGGCUCAACCUCGGAAUUGCAUUUGAAACUGGCAAACUAGAGUACUGUAGAGGGGGUAGAAUUUCAGGUGUAGCGGUGAAAUGCGUAGAGAUCUGAAGGAAUACCGGUGGCGAAGGCGGCCCCCUGGACAGAUACUGACACUCAGAUGCGAAAGCGUGGGGAGCAAACAGGAUUAGAUACGCUGGUAG